CUGGUUGAUCCUGCCAGUAGUCUAWGCUUGUCKCAAAGAUUAAGCCAUGCAUGUCUAAGUAUAAGCAAUUUAUACAGUGAAACUGCGAAUGGCUCAUUAAAUCAGUUACCGUUUAUUUGAUAGUACCUUACUACUUGGAUAACCGUGGUAAUUCUAGAGCUAAUACAUGCUUAAAAUCCCGACUGUUUGGAAGGGAUGUAUUUAUUAGAUAAAAAAUCAAUGUCUUCGGACUCUUUGAUGAUUCAUAAUAACUUUUCGAAUCGCAUGGCCUUGUGCUGGCGAUGGUUCAUUCAAAUUUCUGCCCUAUCAACUUUCGAUGGUAGGAUAGUGGCCUACCAUGGUUUCAACGGGUAACGGGGAAUAAGGGUUCGAUUCCGGAGAGGGAGCCUGAGAAACGGCUACCACAUCCAAGGAAGGCAGCAGGCGCGCAAAUUGCCCAAUCCCGACACGGGGAGGUAGUGACAAUAAAUAACGAUACAGGGCCCUUUCGGGUCUUGUAAUUGGAAUGAGUACAAUGUAAAUACCUUAACGAGGAACAAUUGGAGGGCAAGUCUGGU
rnacentral:rRNA from 1 species